rnacentral:rRNA from 1 species
CCAGACAGCCAGGAUGUUGGCUUAGAAGCAGCCAUCAUUUAAAGAAAGCGUAAUAGCUCACUGGUCGAGUCGGCCUGCGCGGAAGAUGUAACGGGGCUAAACCAUGCACCGAAGCUGCGGCAGCGACACUAUGUGUUGUUGGGUAGGGGAGCGUUCUGUAAGCCUGUGAAGGUGUACUGUGAGGUAUGCUGGAGGUAUCAGAAGUGCGAAUGCUGACAUAAGUAACGAUAAAGCGGGUGAAAAGCCCGCUCGCCGGAAGACCAAGGGUUCCUGUCCAACGUUAAUCGGGGCAGGGUGAGUCGACCCCUAAGGCGAGGCCGAAAGGCGUAGUCGAUGGGAAACAGGUUAAUAUUCCUGUACUUGGUGUUACUGCGAAGGGGGGACGGAGAAGGCUAUGUUGGCCGGGCGACGGUUGUCCCGGUUUAAGCGUGUAGGCUGGUUUUCCAGGCAAAUCCGGAAAACUAAGGCUGAGGCGUGAUGACGAGGCACUACGGUGCUGAAGCAACAAAUGCCCUGCUUCCAGGAAAAGCCUCUAAGCAUCAGGUAACAUCAAAUCGUACCCCAAACCGACACAGGUGGUCAGGUAGAGA